rnacentral:rRNA from 1 species
UACGGAGGGUGCAAGCGUUAUCCGGAUUUACUGGGUUUAAAGGGUGCGUAGGUGGGUCUGUAAGUCAGUGGUGAAAUCUCCGAGCUUAGCUCGGAAACUGCCAUUGAUACUAUAGGUCUUGAAUUAUCUGGAGGUGAGCGGAAUAUGUCAUGUAGCGGUGAAAUGCUUAGAUAUGACAUAGAACACCAAUUGCGAAGGCAGCUCACUACGGAUUGAUUGACACUGAGGCACGAAAGCGUGGGGAUCAAACAGG